AAUUGGAGGGCAAGUCUGGUGCCAGCAGCCGCGGUAAUUCCAGCUCCAAUAGCGUAUAUUAAAGUUGUUGCAGUUAAAAAGCUCGUAGUUGAAUUUCGGGAUUGACACAUCGGUCGUGCCUUAAGGGGUAUGAACUGGUGUAGUCAAUUUCUCACCUUCUGGAGAACCGCGAUGCCCUUAAUUGGGUGUCACGGGGAACCAGGACCUUUACUUUGAAAAAAUUAGAGUGUUUAAAGCAGGCAUUUUGCUUGAAUACAUUAGCAUGGAAUAAUAAAAUAGGACGGCAUGAUUCUAUUUUGUUGGUUUCUAGGAUCACCGUAAUGAUUAAUAGGGAUAGUUGGGGGCAUUAGUAUUCAAUUGUCAGAGGUGAAAUUCUUGGAUUUAUUGAAGACUAACUACUGCGAAAGCAUUUGCCAAGGAUGUUUUCAUUAAUCAAGAACGAGAGUUAGGGGAUCGAAGACGAUCAGAUACCGUCGUAGUCUUAACCAUAAACUAUGCCGACUAGGAAUCAGACGAUGUUAAUUUUUUAAUGACUCGUUUGGCACCUUACGGGAAACCAAAGUGU
rnacentral:rRNA from 1 species